UACGAGUGCCUCAAGCGUUAUCCGGAAUCAUUGGGCGUAAAGGAUGUGUAGGUGGUUGUGUUAGUCUCUUGUUAAAUUCUUCGGCUUAACCGGGGGCAUGCAAGGGAAACGGCACGACUAGAGGAUGCGAGGGGUCUGCGGAACUCAUAGUGUAGCGGUGAAAUGCGUUGAUAUUAUGGGGAACACCAAAAGCGAAGGCAGCAGACUGGAGCACUCCUGACACUGAAACAUGAAAGCGUGGGUAGCGAAUGGG
rnacentral:rRNA from 1 species